UUAAAAUUUUCUUGCCAUUAAGUUUCCGAAUCUCUUCAGGCAGUACUACCGUACCUUGGGUAAUGUUUGAUAAAGAAAUCUGUUGACAAGCGUGGUCUAAUAACGGCAUGAUAUGUUCGAUGUCAAUGAAAUCGAACCGUUCCCAUAUGUUUACACAUAAUUUCAUAAAUACGACAUCUGCAAGACGUAGACAAUUCAUGGAAAACUUCAAAUCUAUUGACAUAUCCGAAUCAAAAUGGCAGCUCGUAAAGCAAUCCAUAGGGGAUAAGACAGGAAUGUUGUAAGGUAUAUCAAAAACAUUAUCAUAUGUACCUUGCUUGGUUUUGCGCAUGCAAUUCCAUGAACAGAAAAUGAUGGGCUCCUUUGGUUGGAUAUGUAAAAAUAUUGUACUCGUAAGGGGAUCCCUCAUAUUAUUUGUUUUUUCGCAAUUUGCUUCAACAAUCCCAGCAUUUUCAAUAUGUAAUACUUUACCAAAUCGAACUGUCUGCCCAGACUCUAAGAUGUAGCUCAAGUUAAUAAGAAACUAAAUAAGGUUAGCAAU